rnacentral:rRNA from 1 species
AUUGAACGCUGGCGGAAUGCUUUACACAUGCAAGUCGAACGGCAGCACGGGGCAACCUGGUGGCGAGUGGCGAACGGGUGAGUAAUACAUCGGAACGUGCCCAAUCGUGGGGGAUAACGUAGCGAAAGUUACGCUAAUACCGCAUACGAUCUACGGAUGAAAGCGGGGGAUCGCAAGACCUCGCGCGAAUGGAGCGGCCGAUGUCAGAUUAGGGUAGUUGGUGGGGUAAAGGCUCACCAAGCCGACGAUCUGUAGCUGGUCUGAGAGGACGACCAGCCACACUGGGACUGAG